UUGUAAUGUGAGCAGCCUGGGUGCGUCAGUGCAGGUAAGUGACAUGAAAAUGUUCGCCGUGGAGGGUGAGAGCCCCGUCCAGCCUGCACAGGGCGUGCCGUACAGGGCUGUCUCGAAUGAGUCGGGUAGCUUGGGAAUGCUGCUCUAAGAUCGGUGGUAAAUUUCAUCGAAGGCUAAAUACUGCUGGAAGACCGAUAGUGAACAAGUACCGUGAGGGAAAGAUGAAAAGCACUUUGAAAAGAGGGUGAAAAGAAUCUGAAACCGUUGUGAGGGAAGCGGAUUGCGUUGCAGUAACUGUGGGCGCCGGUGUGUUCAGCCUGUUUCGGCGGGUGUAGUGGCACCGGUGGCUCCGUCUGCUGUGGGUUUGUGGUGGCUGAUUGCAAGGCUGCUGCGGACUGAGGGCUCCGUGCUGCUUUGCGGCGGCACGUGAGGACGGCAGGGUGACGACGCGAUACGACCCGUCUUGAAACACGGACCAAGGAGUCUAGCACAGCUGCGAGUCUGAGGGUGUCAAAGCCUGUGGGCGAAGUGAAAGCGAAAGAUGGCGGUAAUUCCAUAAUUUCAGAAUGACAAAGUUGUUGCAAUUUGGGG
rnacentral:rRNA from 1 species